CGCGCAUUCGAUAGCUCCCUAUGGGUAGCUCAGAGGAAUCAUUUCCUGAUUUGACUACUUACGUCUUAAAUACGGCUCUGGACUGGAGAGAGUGUCUGCUGGAGGAGGGCUGCCUAUGGAGUCACGGUUUUUUAUCAGGCGGUUCUUCAUGUUAUUUUACGAGAUCACUACGAUUGCUUUAAAAGAUUUUGAGAUUGUGAGGUAUGCAUGUGGUAAGACAAAAUUGGUGUUUGACAGGUUUUCCAAAUUUGUCAGUGUCCACUUCUCCUGCCACAACAACAUCAGUUUCUCCUCCAGUUUCUCCUCCAGUGCGCUCAACAUCAGUCUCUCCUCCACAAACUCUCUCCGUCCACCCAGUGCUUGUGAUUGUUCUGGGAGUUGUGCUCUUACUGCUCUUAGUGCCACUGCUUAUAUUGAUUCAGCAGAACAGAGUG